UAUAUUAUUAAAAUGAAAUCCAGCAAAAGGUACAAAAACAACACUGACAAACCACUACAAGCAACAAAAUUGUAGAAAACUGACAAUGCCUAAAUUACACAAAACCAGCCCAAAUCCAACUAAUGCAAUUGCAUACCCCACUGAAGCAUAUUGCACAUAUAUGUUUCAAAUUCUGCAGAUAAUAGACUGUAAAGUAAUGCAGCAAACACAUAAGCUUCAAAUUCCAAAUGAACAUCCAAAGGCAGAGUUUAAUAUAACACAAAACGCAGAAGAGAGGAUAGAAACUGAAGGCUCCAAAACAAUCAGACCAAAGAAAAAAGCUCAGAACCCAUGUGGACUGUAGAUGUUAAAAGACUUGAGGACUCAGCAGGUCAAGAUUUCCAGAUAAACUAAUCUCCUAUCAGCCCCCUACUACCCGAAUUCAGAUUGUCCCAGUCAUCCACCAUUAGACUUUUGUAAUCAAAACCACUACUGAAACUCAAUCAGAACUGCUUGUAGAAUUAGAACAAGCCGUCUAGCACAUAUUUCACCCCAGGAGCUGAAGCCAACUAAUGGAGAAACAGAGAUGCACAGCCCUUUCAAAAGCAGAGAGCAAUAAUCCACCACCGAAUAAGAAAACGAGCUACUUGAAGGCCAAAAACCAAGUCAAUCUCCAUAGCCAAGCCCCCUGAUCUGCUAAAUUGCUGAUAAUACACUGCUGAUCCCAGAGAUAUGACCAAUUGAAGAAGAAAAAACUGAUACACUACUGCUGUAGAUUAAAAGAACACAUUAAAGGGUUUAAAGACUUGCUUUAUCCGCAAAUCCCAACUCCAACAGGCUCCAUUUAGCAACCAACCAGUUAUGCUCAAAAAAUGAAUCACUGAUAUUUCUGCUGUGAGUGAAUUGACAUACAAAAUGAAAUAUUGCUUGUUUUAAUGGUUUAAUCUCAAAACUGUUUAACUCGUUGUUAUAUAAAAUCUAAAUAACUAUAGUUUCAAAAUUAGAACAAAUAAAAGUGAUAAAUAACAAAUAAUAUAAUAAACUCAACGGCAGUGUUACUUAGUAACUGAUAUCAUAAUCAAGAUCAUCAUCUUCGUAAUCGUCAUUGGCCAUUUCGUUGUAGUGGUCUCCAACAGCAGGAUCACCACCUGCACUAUAGUCGCUAUCUUUCCCAAUUUCAGGACUCGUUGAAAUCUCCUCCUCUAAUUUCUUCAGCGCAUCAUAGUUGAUCUUGGAACUCAUUGUCUUCUUGUUGCUUUUUCUCUGAUCAUCAACACCACCAAUUUUAAGAGCUUUCUUGGCAUGUGCACCUUUCUUCUUCUCCUGCUGUGGUCGCUUUCUCUUGGAGUAAUCUCUCUGCAGUAGCUCCCACAUUAUCUUUCUCAAUUCUAUUUCCUUCUCGUCGCGAACGUAACGAACAAUCUCCGCAUCAUUAAUUCCAGUAAGGUCCAAUCCACCGGAAACGACCUGUUUCUCCAUCUCCGGUGAUCAACUUCCCACAAAAAGAAUCGAUCAAUUUGCGAUAUCGAAUGAAUGCAUAAAAUUAAACGUUGCAGGCGGUGGCCGUGUUACUGUGCCUUCGAA
rnacentral:misc_RNA from 1 species